GUACGAAAAGGGCAAACUCUGCGAAAGCAGAGGACGCAAAGUCACUGAUCUAAAGGGCAAAUGCCCCAAGAUGGCAGGACUGCCACA
rnacentral:ncRNA from 1 species